rnacentral:tRNA from 10 species
GCCCCAGUAGCUCAGUAGGCAGAGCACCUGCCUUUUAAGCAGGGUGUCCGGGGUUCGAAUCCCCGCUGGAGCACCA